rnacentral:rRNA from 1 species
AUUGAACGCUGGCGGCAUGCCUAACACAUGCAAGUCGAACGAGUGGCGGACGGGUGAGUAAUGUAUGGGAACCUGCCCGAUGGAGGGGGAUAACUACUGGAAACAGUAGCUAAUACCGCAUACUCUCGGAUGGGCCCAGAUGGGAUUAGCUAGUAGGUGGGGUAACGGCUCACCUAGGCAACGAUCCCUAGCUGGUUUGAGAGGACGACCCGCCACACUGGAACUGAGACACGGCCCAGACUCCUACGGGAGGCAGCAGGGGGGAAUAUUGCACAAUGGGCGAAAGCCUGAUGCAGCCAUGCCGCGUGUAUGAAGAAGGCCUUCGGGUUGUAAAGUACUUUAGGCGAGGAGGCGGUACUCGCAGAAGAAGCAACGGCUAACUACGUGCCAGCAGCCGCGGUAAUAC